GCCCGCCGGGGGCUCGCGCCAGCCACGAGGGAGCGUCCGAGGCCCGCACGCCCGCGCCGCGGAGGAGAGAAUCUGCAGUUCAUAAUGGAGCUACUGUGCUGGCUUUGGAAGGAGGCGAUUCUGAAGAUAGAGAGAUUCAGCUGUCGGUCUUUGACAUUUCCUGUGGUCUGUUCACUCUAGAUGCAAAGGACAUGGAAAAAUCAGGAGCCUUCUUAUUCAAAACACCUUUCAAACUCAAGGCAUAAAAAUAGCAGGCAGCUUCCACUUGCAGGCUUUUGAAGCUGGAGAAGACUUGUUUUUCAUGUGAAGAAACUGCAUCCCAGGAAGAUGAGAUGACUUGCUACUGAAAUUCACAAACGUGUGGGGCCCUAUGACUGGGCCCGCCUGGAAUUUUUGUCUCUCGGAGGUGUCCACAUUGAGCCUUCAGCAACUUAUCGGUUAUAGAUCAAGUUCUCCAAGCCUGGCACUGGAACUCAUGCAUUGGAAUUCCUGCUUAUGGGUUUCUAUCCAGUGGAGAAGCAUGGGACUAGGAGGCAAUCAAGAACAUGAUGAUUUGAGGUGGGAAUUUACACCAUCUUUGCAGUUAUCCAGAAGGUGCCAGCCGCCUGGAGUGACUCCUUGAAGCUGCUUCCAGACAUCUAAUAUGGCAGACCACACUGCACUGCAGCGCCUCAUCCAUCCGGUCUAAGGAAAUUUGCUGAGAGUUGGGCUAAGUCUCAAGAUCCAUUCAAGUCUAAAGAAGACUCUAAAUACUAACAACCACAAAACGGAAGGAAUGCAAGUCCAAUGGUGGUUUUUUGCAAACUUUAGCAGGCUCUGGCACCAUGCCUACCACUCAGAAAUGUGCUGGAUGAGUCUGUGAAUGUUUGGGGUAAAGAAACAUGAUUCAAGAAGGGCUAAACCGCCCUAGAAGGCUUGGCGAGCUCUGGAUGCUCCAGGACGUCUUCAUGAGGAAGAAAAGAAGGGCUUCCAGUAUAUUGUUGAAUAGAUGCAGAGAGAGUGGAGGUCUUGUUCCCGAACGAAGCAGCAUUCAAUAUUUCACCAUUAAGUAUGACAUUCACUGUUGUUUUUUCAUAGAUGCCCAUUAUUAGAUGAAGAUAAACCAAUGCACAGAAGAUUAAGUAAUUUUUCCAAAGAUGCAGAAAUAGAAAAUGACAGAACUUGGCUUCUUUACCACGAUAUUCUAAUUGCCUUCUUCAACAAAUGGGAAGAUAGUGACUUUUAGGGAACAAAAGUUUUCAUCCUGAUACACUAGGUCUUUAAUGAUGUCAGUGAGGAAACAGCCAUCCCCUUCUGUCAAAAGACGCUGAGCCUUCAAGGACCGCUGGUUGUCCAGAGGAGGCUGUGGUUAUUCUGGUGAAGCACGAGGCUGGAGUCAUUUUGAUCAGUUACUCUGUGGAGAGUCCAAAACCGUGAAGCAGAAUGAAUCUCAGGACAGACAGCACUGGAACUCUAGAAGUGUAACUUCACCAGCAGAGGAGGUGGUGAUGGAUGAUUUCUGAUUAUGGAGUCCUUUUCAUCUCUCAAUUUAUAUUCUGAGCUGUUACCUAGAAUAAAUCCUAUCGUUCCUAA